AUCUUUCGAGUUUACAGUUACUCUUCUGACCUUUCUUCGAAACCUGAGGGGCUGUGAGUCAAAUCUUGUUCACUGAACUAUCCAUAUACUUACAAGUACAAGCAAGAUAAGCAUCUGGUACCAAUAACAUUUGCUUUGGCACUAAGGGCUUUAUCUUCCUUCCCCAACC